GCCUAAGUACAGCUCGGUGACAACACCGGGCGAAACCGCAGACGGCUCAUUAAAUCAGUUGUGGUCUAAGUGGGCGACAGUUUUCCCUAGUUGGAUAACUGUGGAAAAUCCAGAGCUAAUACAUGCGACACACAGUCCUCAGCAAACGCCGUACUUGUACGGUUAUGAGCUCGGGAUGCUUUUAUUAGACCGAGGCGCGCGCAUAAUGUACCUUAGCACCUCGCCGUUUACUCGGUGACUCUGCGGUGACUUGUGCGACGUGUAAGCGCUAAAAGGUGACUCUGGAUAACACGGAUAAGCGUGGCUUAAUUGACACGCUGCCUACUUACGAGUGACUGACCUAUCAGCUAGGAUUGUAUGUUAUACGCAAACAAUGGCACUGACGGGUAACGGGGAAUAAGAGUUCGAUUCCGGAGAGGCAGCCUGAGAAACGGCUACCACG
rnacentral:rRNA from 1 species